ACACUAUAUAUACCUUAGGGGUGCUAUAUGGAUCAAAAAGCACUUGGAAAAAAAUGUUAAUGUUGUAUAAUAGAUGGUAUUACUAUUCUUCAGUUCUAAUAGAGAUCAUCUUCUCCUUUUAAAAAAUCUUUAUUGAGAUAUAAUUCACCCAUUUAGAGUAUAUAAUUCACUAGUUUUUAGUAUAUUCAUAGAGUUGUACAGCCACCAUCAUAAUGAAUUU
rnacentral:lncRNA from 1 species